GUACAAUCUGACAAUGACAAACAAAGCAAUUAUUCUGAGAGCUUGGUUAUUACUAUGAUGAGUAAAUUUAAGGAACACAAACUAAAUCUACAUCUUUCUGCACUGCAAAACAAAAGGCUAUUCUGAUGUAAGGUGAAACCAAGGCAGGAUGGAGGCUAAAAAAUGCUUGGUCAAGUCAUUCCUGUUUGAUGACUGCACGUCUUGUUUGGAAGCGUGCAGCUCGUCCCCGCAGUGAGCACCUCACCUGUUUGCGCAUGACGUCCGUCGCUUGCAUGAUGUAGCGAGGGGGCAGCCCAUGGCUCCGGGCCAGCGUGAUCGCCUGCUCCAGGGUGACACUCAGAGUGCAGCUGCAAUGGGGGACAGAGAGUGAAAUACUGUACAAAGUACAUACUCAUAAUAUUUGCCAGCACCAAAAUUUAAACAUGCAACCUUCAAGAGCAGACUGCAAAGGAGUCUUUGUUCUACUGACAAUGGAGACAAGCAAAAGUAUCUGAAAUGUCUUUGACGGGUAUAAUCUAAACCAAACAAACACGGCAAAAAGUUUCUCAGUAGGUGUCAUAUGGGCUCAACGCACAGCUCUCAAGCAAGCAAUUCCUGAGCCAAGUUUCCCAUAAAUCCCAUCUUCUGGAACCCUUAAGAGUGACCAAAAAAUUAGGUUCUGCACACAUGAAUCAAAACUAACAAAAGAACCUUCUAAAUGAAGGUCAUCUUGAAGAAUUAAGUGCAAUUUUGUGAUUGAAAAAGACUGCCAGGCUGCUCCCUAUCCAAAACCUGAUGAAAUGCUUGGCGAUCAUGGAUAUUAUGAGGCCUCUCCAUUUGGACAAUACCAACCAUGAUUCAGAAAUAAGUCUGCCAAGUGUGUAGAUAAAGACAACCAGAGUGGGAAAAGCAGAGACAGAGCAAAACAGCGUAAUAAAGAUUACUUCAAGAGGCUGCUUUGGAGGUAGGCAACAACUACAGUACAAUUCUGAAACACAUACACUAAAAUUAAAGAUCUCACUUCAUGGCAAGUAAGAAUAGUGAUUCUAUGGGUAAGAUUUUUAACAUAUCCUAUGAAAUUAGUAGCAAAGACACUUAUGAUGACAGCAGUGAUGAUGUUAAUUAUUAUAACACCUCUUCAAUAGAACAUUUUAUGUUUGAGGUGUAGUCCUAGAGUAAUGCUUGUUAGAUACAUCUGUGUUCUCUUUUAAAAGACCUUAUUCAUUAACAGAUGUUAAAAAUUGUUAAAAUAGCAUCAGAGACAUGAUUGCAUUUGCAUAUACUGUUUCACUGAGGUGCAAUUUAGUAUCACCAGCAUUCGUGUUCCUCCUAUUUAUAUUUAUUUAUAUAUAUAUAUAUAUAUUUUUUAGUAUAAAUUUAUAUAGUUUGUAUUUUACUCUGCCAUUCAUCAGACCUUUCAUGUGGCAUAAAAGGUCUGAUGAAUGGCAGAGUUAAAUAUAAAUUAUAGAUUAUGGCUUUUGUCCUGUGAUUAUGAAAUAAGGUUACUAUUUUCUAAAUUAAAAAAACCCAACAACAACACUCAAACAGUGUCAGUUUAGCUGAACACCAGACCAGUGAGAUAGAAUCUUCUAAUAAAGCUGAUCAUAUUAACCUUCCAUGAGACUAUACUGAAGUGACUCACACUUAUCUACAUACUGGUGCUUUCUCCCAGCUCUUCAAAUAGUUUUUUAAUUAGUACAUAUCCCUUUUCACAUAUCAAACUGCCCUGGACACCAGCUGUGAAAGAAAAAAAUGCACACACAAAACAUCACAUGGUAACAUGGAAAAGUCAUAACUGGAAGUACCUCAGCAAUAGGGCUGCCAAGCAUGGAGAGACCAAGCAAAUGCAAAUUUAAACCAAUGUAACUUCUAAAAUUUUAUUAAACAAUAUGAAAUCUGGUUAUUCUCCAUCUUGUAAGAUUCUUCUGGUGGCCUGAGCAAAGUUCAAUAUCAAGGACUGUUAGCAAAUGUGUGCAGUGUGUAAUAAUCCAGUUUUCUCCCGCAUUUUGAGAUCUGAUAAACAGAUGGUAUUAAAGUUUACAAAGCAAUGUGGAAGCAGUUCUGACCUCUGAAAGUAUCUGGUCAUUUGGAUGCAAUCAGCCCAGACAAGCCAAACAAGGAAAUUAUUUGGGGAAAAACCCUCAUAACAUUCUGUUAUGGGAAGCAUAAAGCCCAAGUCCAUAGAUUAUAAAGUGUAAACAAAUCAAAAUCUGUUCUGACUCCCUCUCUUUUCCUCUCACCCCUUUUUUUUAUGCGAGAAAAACAAAAGACCCAAAUUCAUCAUCUCAGAAUUUAUGUCAGUUAGAAUGAUAAAUUCCCUGCCUUGACAGAUUACAACAGCAAGGCAGAGACAUUUGGAUUUCCCAGGACAACUGGGCUGAGAAUUCCUCAUUUCAUCCAUUUGGUUUCCAAGAAACAGAAGGGGCUGCAGCUGCUCCCAGCUCCUGCCUGCUAUCCCCAGUCUCCCAUCAGUCAUGACAGUAUUGACGUGAAGAUUAAACACAAACUUUCAAACAACUUCUGGAUCAAACCAUUCUGAAUAUGACUGAAAAAGUAAUAAUUUUCUAUCACCAAUAGUCCAUUUGUUUCUGACUGGAUGUGAUUUUCACUUAAGGGCUGCAAAUCAGCUGGACAGAUGCACAUCUGUACUGAAAAAUGGAGUUGUAAAAUAUGAAUACAGACUGAAAUUUUCUGGGAAACUGAUUAUUUCACAACAGCUUGUCUAAUGUCACUUGAAAGGAAAAACAAUUUGAGUUUAUGUUCACUACCAACAGACGUGCCACGCAGCAAAGUGUGUAUCAAUGUUACCAGAGUAAAAAGAAUCUAAACCAUACAAUUCAUUCUCAGGUUUCAAUUAGGCUUUCAGCCAUUCUACAUCCAAAAAUGCACCAAAGCAUCCCUUAGAAAAAUGCCCUGAGUAGAAAAGAUGAGGUGAAACAAAUUGGUUUAGUAGUUACUACAAUCAGAGAUGUCAAAAUGAAUUAUGUUCCAACUACGUGAAUAGGAAAAAAUACUAAAAGGGUGUAUGUAUGCUUAGUCUAAUCAAAAUCUAAGGCUUAUAUUCAACAUGUAAUUUAAUGCCAUUAUUAUUAUCUUAAUUACUUUUCUUCCUGUACAUCAUAAGCUAAUCAUAUCUAUGAUGGUAUGGUUUGACCACCUUUUAGACCAAUUACACGGUAAGAAUUCUUUUUAUUUUCUGCUGUCAUUUAAAUUAAUGUGUAUAGACCAAAUAUUAUUUAAGUCAAGGCAUGCAGCAAUUAAAAACUUAGUGUUAAAGUAAAUCACUUUGGGGUAAACAUUUUUCGGGACAUUUGUCUAUAAUUAAUAGCGAUGGUUGGGUAAUAUGCACUGAUUCUGAUGGGCAACCCAAGGAAGAAAAUAGACACAAUAAAACUAAAAAGGAGGACAAAUGUUGUUCAGGACUAUAAGAAAUAGGCAUACGAAGUAUAGGCAGGCCUACUUCAAGAUUCUCCCAUAAGUUCUAAGCUGUUCUCCUUGUGAGAAUGUCUUCAUGCAAGUAAAGCUGAAGCUUGCAUUCUCUGUGCCCAUACCCUGAAACUUUGCUGAACAGAAUUUCUUUUCAGUAGAGGUAAAUUUGGCCAGCCAUUAAGUAUUAGAGAGAAAAUGAGCAUGAAGUUCAUACAUUACUAAACUACAAUCCUGUAUUUCACAAUUACAGUGAACUCUGUUGGAGUUCAGGACUAGGUUAGUCCUAGGUUACCUAACUAGUUAGGUUUAGUCCUUUUAUGAAUCUUUGUGAAGCUGAGAUGUUGCCAGUGUGGAAAGGCCACCACUUUAAAAUCAGUGUUGGACAGAACCCAUCCACUGAAGACUAGUCCAACAUACAGAAAGCCAUCAUUAUUAUGCCCAUCAAGUGUAUUUAUUCCACUCUGAAUCAAAAACAACACUUCAAAAGUAACUGUGGAACAUACAUCAUCACCGAACAGAAUGGGCAUGUGCAGUCCAUGUUAAAGGGAUUUUCUGCCUUUUAUCCAUUAAGCAUCAGCAUGCAGGGGUUUCGUUCACAAAAGGCACCAUUGUGAUUACAUAGUUGUGCGAACCUCAGAAUAAAGGUAUCCCAACUCACUUUAUCAGGCAUACAUCCACCAUCCUGUGACAGGAUAAUCAAACCCAGCUCUACCAGCUUUCUUAAGACACAAACUACCAACAGAUUUCUGACUUGCUGAAGUAGAUGGCAUAAAUUUAUCAAGACAGAGAAUCAGUCUUGGGAGGUAAGUAUCCAUUAGUCAUAUAUCAGACUUAACCUUGGUUAAUGAAUUCCUUUGUAGGUUACAAACAUAUUUUUAUCAGGAGUAUUUGGUUCAAUAUUAAUAAUUUUUAAUAAUGAAGUAUGAAACAUGAAGGAGGUAAUGUUGAUUUUUUUCCUGUAGAUUGAACGAUUAUUGUCAUCCAAUCUAUUUCCAGAAAUAAAUGUAACUAUUCUAACUCUUUAAAACAGAGAGAUUUUCAAAGAAAAAUUAAGAAGUAAAAAACGGCACUUCUUUUCACUACACAUCAUCUGUCAGUGUUAAAAAACAGCAGGGAGCAUCUUUUCACAAUCAUUUUUCCUGUAAGAUCUUACCACCUCUAAUCAGCUGGAAAUGUUGCAAGGAAGCAUUUUCACUACUAAAUACUCUUUGCUUGAUGAAAGAACAGCAUUUCCAAAAAUUAGAAGUAUUCCAUGCCUUUUAUUUACUCAUUUUCAGUUAUACUUGCAAAAACAAACAAAAUCUAAAGGCAUCUGAAACCCCAGCUUUGGCCAUUCUCUCUCAUUCUGUGCAGCAAGUCUUUCCAUUAAAGGUUUCUUCCUCUGUAAACAGGCAAGUAAAUCUGGUAGGAAAUUGCAAUUUACUUCCUGUCUUGUAAUAAUUCAAGCUAUUCACUUACCUCUCUUCAUGCCAAAAUUUAAAAAGACCUGGUUAAAUUUUUUAAUUUCCGAUUAUUCAAGAGGUCCUGUUUUACUUUUAUUGUAACAUGGAAGACUUUGCAGAAAAACACCAGUUUCAAAGACCUGGACUGCCAAUUAGACAAUAGUGCAGGAACUGAAGCGUAGAAGGAUGGUUCUACAGAGCACAGUAAUAGUGUUGUGUGGCAGCCCUGCUAAACAUCCAUAAUGUUAAAAGAAGACCAAGUCAAGAAAAAGCACACCUUGAAAUCCAUACUAGUAAUGACUUCUAUCCAUCUUAUCUUACUGCAUUUUAUGCACUUCUCUUCAUUUUCAGAUUGCAUUUUAAACAAAACAGUGUCUCAGAAUUUAAAACAUGCAUGAGAACAGUAAGACUAUAAUCCAUCCAGUAUAUGUAUUAGAUAUUAUAAAGAUGACAAAGCAAAAAUGUACCAGCUUGCCCAUGAAAGGCAAAUAUAGAUCAAAAUUAAAACAAUUACUACUGUAGAAACAGUAUAGUACUAUUUGUGCUAAGACACUAUUUGUUUUAAGACAAAUUCUCACAUAUUUAAAAAUUAUUUAGCUGUUUUUAGGUAGUAACCAGUGCAGAAUGUAAUACUCUAUUAUCCUAAAUAAUUUUACACAAAGAAGUUUGUUUAUGGCUCAGUGGGUAUGGUAUCAUAAAAAUACACUAAUUGUAGGCAGACAUAACAGAACUACAUAACAUAGACAUAACAGAUUUAAAAAAUAGAAGAGCAUCUUGACUAAAUGGGAAGGUAGCAGGACUAAAAGCCGAGCUGAGGCCAGAUGGCUGGAGAAGGGUAUGGAUUAGUUUUUCAGUCUGUGCUAACCUGUCUCCUGAAAGUAGUCCCAUCGAUCUCCGAAAGCUUUCUUACUGUGGAGUUGAUAGCCUAAAUACAGCUGCAAAACUCCAAGGAUUUUCCUUGUAGCAUGCACUCACUGAGCUCAGAACUAAAUUCUUACAGGAAAACUUCUGAAUCUAAAAGGAAGGAUUCUUAUCAUAGAAUGUCAAAAAUACAAAUCCAGAACACCUAUUUUUCACCUUGUUUCAUUUGAUUCACAGAAAGGCAGCUGGCCAUGAUGGACAGCUUAUGGUGCUACUCUGCUUUGCAAUGUGGAAGAUGAAGCAGGUUUAGCUGGAUUGCAGGACCACUGCCAGCUACAGGAGACAGCAUAAUCAACCCUUGGCAAAACCUGCCUCAUCGUUCAGCCAAGUGUCUGCCAGCCAGAACCCCACUGCUUGAAGGAUGGUAACACUAAGGAGAGUAUUUCUGGAGGGGAAAUUAAAAUUCAGAAAAGAAAAUAAGACAGUGAUUUUUCUGGGGUUGAUCAAGAUUAUAGAAGAUUUUUCUCUUGCUCCUCCAGGAAAUGCAAAAUUUAAAUAAACUUGGGAUUUGUUUCAUUUGGAUGCUUUAAAUGAUUCCUUUGAGCCUGUAAGACCUAUGGUCCCUGAACAGAUUUCUGCAGCUACUGCACCUAAUUUCGUUUUGGCAAACAGAGGCUAGGACCUGUCUGUGCAGUGCAGUCUUGCUCUUCUCCCUCAAGCAGGAACUAGAAUCAUGAUUCAAUAAAAUUUAAAAGUGCCUUUCAUCACCUGCAUUUGUACUGAUUGAUUUCAACUUCAAACAGAAUGAACAAAAGUAAAGAAAGCAGAGCGUUGUUUACAGGGUGACAGCUGGCUGGCAGGCAGAAAUAUAAUUACGAAUGUUAAAAAAGGUAAAAUAAAAAUGCAAACUAUUGAUUUCUUGAACUAAUUUGGAUCUCUGCUCCUCUUGUUGAUCAACAAGGCAUGUUCGCUUAUGAUAAUCCAAGAGGGGUUUGUAGCACUCACACAUCACUUAGGACAGUGAAGGUUAAAGAGACUUAUUUUACCCUGUCCUUGGUUUUCUGGUGCUCAAAAUGUAUUUGAAAAGAACUGCUGUCUGAAAUAGAUAUAGGAUUGCAGGCUGUAAUGUAAAUUGGUAAACAUAUUGUCGUAAUAAAAAUCAAAGCAAAGCAAUCACCAGCAACUCAAAAUCCCCAGCAUUAUCUUGGAUACAGGGAUGAAAGUAUGAACUCUGUCAAGCUGUUUUAGCCUAGUGCAGCGUAAAAAGCAAUUUAAUAUGGAUCACAGAGAAGUCAGAAACCAAGACACUGCUGAUCCAGAGAUCAGCAAUCACUGUCAAAGCAGACAAAGCUGCUGUUUCCUAGUUCUUGGCCUCUUCUGCAUUGGACUGUCACCCAGGGCCUCCCUCACAAGCUAUCUGGGACUUGCUUCUGGUGAGUAGGAGCGGUGGCAGAACCUCCCCCUGCCCCCUGUCAACCCAUGACACCAAAAGUGAGAGAACACAGAAAGGGCUCUCCAGUCAGUUCAGUAAGAGAUGGAUAAAUUGAGUGAGGGAAGGUAUAUAUAUACAUAUAUGUGUAUAUGUAUGUGUAUAUAUAUUUAUGUAUAUAUCUAUAUUUUAAAAUCUAUUAAAUAUAUUUAAACUUUUGACAGAUUAAUGCCUUGCUCAGCUCCCACUCUCCAUUAACAAAAGACAUUUAUGAAUAGAGCACCCUGUACUCUUCCACAGACUCUCAGACAUUUGCUCCCUUAAAGACCAAUCAUAGAAACUGGGCUAAAAUGAAGGCUUUUAAAAAGAAAGUAUGGGGGACUCUUGCUCCAAGUUGAGCUUCAUUUUUAAGCUGUAAAGACUGACAAAUGAGUAGAUUUUCAAAAUUUAAUAUGCAAGAACAAUUCACAUCUUUAUCUAGUAACAUCUGUAGAUAAUACCAGUUUUCAACUCAUUUAUUAUCCAUGGCCUAGUUUUAAAAACCAGUCAUGAGCCACUGAUUUUGGCCUACAAAAUGUGAAGUUCUGCAACUGAUUGCAAUCACGGACUUCACAGUGUUUUGCUUCUAAGAACACAGAAAGCCAGAUACACUGCUGAAUACAACCAGAGAUAAAUAUCCCCUCUAACUGAAAAUUGGUAGCUUGAACUCUAAAGAACUACCUUACAAGCUAAGAAGCACUAUUUUGCAAAAUGAUCUGCCCUGAUUAAAUACUACUCCAACAAACAGAAAAAUUUAGCCUUCAAGAUUGCAGGCAUAAAGCAAAAUCUUCUGGGUCUAUGGGACUUGAUCAUAUCCAGCAUCUUAUUCUUUCCUCUUCUGUCCUCCUCACAGGAUUUCAUGUUGCUGCAAGACUGUUUCACUCUUGAGAGCAACAAGGGGAGUAGGUUCACAAAAACACUGCAGAAUUUACCACUAGAAAUCCUGGGCACAAAAAUCAUUGAGCAAACCUACUAGCUGGAAACAAAGCAAGCUUUCUGUCUGGGCAAAGGCAAUUUCAGAAUGCCACAAAGCAAAGCCCACGUAGUACUGGACUGUAGAGAUUUGGCCUAGGGAGACCAGAAAGAGAAAACAGUACAUGAAGUGACUUUAUAUGACUCCAAAUGCCAAGGAAAAGCUUCUUCAUCCAUCCAGUUUGCAUGUGCAACAGUAAUUUCAGGAAACUGUUAUUACAAAACUUUCUCAGCUUUUACCACUUAAAGGGACUUAUUUUCCCUUAGAAGAGCAAAUUAUUCCCUUCUAGUCUCUAAAUACAUGAGUUUUCUUCUGAACUUCCAGGUACAAACCCCUGAGUACCUAUAAAAAUUUUUAACUAGUCCAUUCCUUUUCCUGGAGGGCCUAUCUUGGAAUAUCUCUGAUAAUGCCAAGAGUUGAUGUUUUUUUCUCUGAACAGAUGGUAGUCACAAAGGCAGUAUUAAUGCACAAAUGAAGUAGCAGUAUCUUGUACCAAAACUCAAAUGGACUCACUGUAAAGUAGAACUACUCAUGCUUUAGAGAAAAGCAUCUUGCACCUUUACUUUAUGUAAAUAGAUGAUGAUGAAUCCUUUAACAUCCAGAAGGAAACCCACACAUAACACUUUUAAAUCCCAUUCCCAUGCUCAUAAUAUAGUCUUUAAAACCAAUAUAUUGGUUUUCUAAUUUUUUGUGUGUUUAAAAUACACUUAAAUAGACAUUUAAGAGUUUAUACCUUUGAAUUAGCCCCAGUUUUGAGCAGAAAUUUGAUGACUAAUUUAUUUUUAUCUUAGAAAAACUUAUGCUCAGAUUUAAGCAAACCAUAUCUUACUCAGUCACCAAAUUAUUCUGAAUAAUUUGUGACCCACACACCGGAGGGUAGUAAUUUAUUUGGGCUGUGAAAGUUAUUCUGACUAUAGUCUUAAACAAUCAGAAUUUCUGGCACAAAUGUACUGACAAAUUCAUGAAAUGGUGAUGAAACCCAGAGGCAGUCUUUUUCAGCUUAAAAAAAACCUGUCAGAAUUAUGUCCGAAGUCUCUUCUGAUCACGUAAGACAUGAAACUGAAAGCAAGACAAAGAGAAAAGCUGUCUAGAUUCAUGGUCUUCUGAAACAAUAGUGUCAUGACAGCCCAUGCUAUACAGUAUUUCCAUCUUCGUCUGAUAUAUUGACUAGUGUUACAUAACAAAGCUUUUUCCUACUUUUCCCUAAAGUUAAGUACAGUACACAGUAUGUUAUACACACUUCUAUCAUUGACAGAGAGUAAUACAAAUAGUCUGUUGCCAACUCUCAAAUGGCAUACACUGUCUCUACACAACUGAAUUGUUUUGGCUGUAUAUGAAGCUUUUCCUUUUUUCAUGCCUGAUAAUCUGCGUUGCAGCUUGUACUGCAAUGGCCUUUUUUCUUCUCCUCUCCUCAAAGCUCCUUUGAAGAAAGCAUAUUACUUAAAAGGAGGAGAAAGUAAUGUUCAUUCUAACACAAGGUAUUGGUAACAAAGUCUGCCAAAGUAAGGACUUGCACAGAUCAGAAACUAAGCAGCAUUUUUAACAUACUGCUACCCCUGAUCUACAGCUUGGAAUUCUUAUGAAAAGAGCAUAUUUUUAGCUCAGAUUAUUUGUUAUGUUAGUUCUUUUGUUUGUCAGGGUUUUUCCCCCUCUCCAAUUGUAGUCUUUGCUUUUUUGAUACAAUGUACCAAAAAACUGUAAUCUGCCCAGUUGGAGCAUAAAUGUAUUGCUGCCUGUGACAAAUAUAUUAAGUGCUAGAAAGCUCUGUGAUGGCGCUAUUGUCAUAAAUAUGUUUGUCUAUUAAAAUCUCUUAGGGUUGAUGAUCAAGUUCAGUUCACUAUAGGUCAGUCUAUAUUUUGGUAUUGUAUUAAACACAUCAACUGCUCUACAGGCUGAACCUCUCGUUAUGAUAAAGUAUACCUGCAAAAAUGCAUAUGUCCUAUGUUUCAUCUUUUUUCCUUGAAACAAGCUCUACUAUUACUCCCCGUACCAUACAAAGCAAAUACAAAUUUCAGCAUUUCUUGCCUGUGUUAAGAGUUCAAUAUAGUACGUAUUAUUCAUCUAGGUAACAUUCCUCUUUCUACUUUAGCAAUUAAGAUUUCUGCCUUUUACUGACUGACCUGAAUGAGGAACAAUCUCACUACAACUGCACAAACCAAAAAAAUUGUACUGCUCAUUUCUGUCAGUUGCUGCAAAUACAAUUCUAGAAUUUCACAAA